rnacentral:rRNA from 1 species
GACGAACGCUGGCGGCGUGCCUAAUACAUGCAAGUCGAGCGAAGUUUUUCUGGUGCUUGCACUAGAAAAACUUAGCGGCGAACGGGUGAGUAACACGUAAAGAACCUGCCUCAUAGACUGGGACAACUAUUGGAAACGAUAGCUAAUACCGGAUAACAGCAUUAACUGCAUGGUUGAUGUUUAAAAGUUGGUUUUGCUAACACUAUGAGAUGGCUUUGCGGUGCAUUAGCUAGUUGGUGGGGUAAAGGCCUACCAAGGCGACGAUGCAUAGCCGACCUGAGAGGGUGAUCAGCCACACUGGGACUGAGACACGGCCCAGACUCCUACGGGAGGCAGCAGUAGGGAAUAUUCCACAAUGGGCGAAAGCCUGACGGAGCAACGCCGCGUGAGUGAAGAAGGAUUUCGGUUCGUAAAGCUCUGUUGUUAGGGAAGAAUGAUUGUGUAGUAACUAUACACAGUAGAGACGGUACCUAACCAGAAAGCCACGGCUAACUACGUG